GAGGCUCCAUGGGCUGCUCACGGCAGCAUGGUGCUCGCCCUCAACGGCAGCCACCUCUCCGGUAACCCGCUGCGGCCGCUGGCGCUGGAGGAGCCGCGGGCGCUGGGCGGCGGCAGGAUGAUCGCCGGCUCCUGGCCCCCGCGCAGCCUGGCCAAGCUCGGCCCGUCGCCCCCCCCGUCGGCGCUGCCCACGGCGAGCCCCCUCCCCGGCAACGACUCCCAGUGCGGGGAGCAGAUCCUCAGCUACGGCAGCGCCGAGAAAGUUCUCAUCGGGGCCGUGCUCUGCCUCAUCACCCUGCUGACCAUCGCCGGCAACUGCCUGGUGGUGAUCUCCGUGUGCUUCGUGAAGAAGCUGCGGCAGCCCUCCAACUAUCUCAUCGUCUCGCUGGCCCUGGCCGAUCUCUCGGUGGCCCUGGCCGUCAUGCCCUUCGUCAGCGUCACCGACCUUAUCGGCGGGGAGUGGAUCUUCGGGCGCCUCUUCUGCAACGUCUUCAUCGCCAUGGAUGUCAUGUGCUGCACGGCCUCCAUCAUGACCCUCUGUGUGAUAAGUAUCGACAGGUACCUGGGAAUCACAAGGCCCCUCACAUACCCUGUCAGGCAGAAUGGGAAGUGCAUGGCCAAGAUGAUCCUGUGUGUCUGGCUGUUGUCUGCCUCUAUCACCAUACCCCCGCUCUUCGGCUGGGCCCAGAACGUCAAUGAUGAAAAGGUUUGCCUCAUCAGUCAAGACUUUGGCUACACCAUUUACUCCACAGCAGUUGCAUUUUACAUCCCAAUGUCAGUGAUGCUGUUCAUGUACUAUCAGAUCUAUAAAGCUGCCAGGAGGAGUGCUGCUAAACACAAGUUUUCUGGUUUUCCCCGUCUGGAAGAAAUGGAAGGGAUUUCUGUGAAUGGACUUGUAAAACUGCACAAGGAAUCUGAAGAAUGUACUAAUUUUUCACGACUCCUAAAGCACGACAAGAAAAACAUUUCCAUCUUUAAAAGAGAACAGAAAGCUGCCACCACCCUUGGGAUUAUUGUUGGGGCCUUCACAAUCUGCUGGCUGCCCUUUUUCCUCCUCUCAACUGCAAGGCCCUUCAUAUGUGGUACAGCAUGCAGCUGCAUCCCCCUCUGGGUGGAGAGAACAUUUCUGUGGCUGGGCUAUGCAAACUCCCUCAUUAACCCUUUUAUCUAUGCCUUCUUCAACCGGGACCUGAGGACAACCUAUCGCAACCUGCUGCAGUGCAGAUACAGGAACAUCAACCGCAAACUCUCGGCCGCGGGCAUGCACGAGGCUCUGAAGCUUGCAGAAAAGCCAGAAUUCGUUCUGUAAGGCCACUCAUCCUCUACUGUGAUCAUUUGCUGUUUUAUCACGUUGGCUUUUCCCCCACAGGUUUGAAAGAAGUGUUGCAGGAGGAACCAGUUGAGCACUGUUAAUGCAGUCAGCAGGAAACAAGGUAGAGCCCACCUGUCCUAAUCGGCCUGGAAAAGCAAGAGCACCAUCUAGAGAAUUUGGGUGUAAGAGGAAUAUAUAAGAAAGGAUGGAAGUGAAAUGUAGCACAGGAUGUUUGAGCUGUUAGUGAGGAAAAAGCAAAGUUGGCCUAACCCGUUUGUUUGGCCCAAAAAAUGUUUAGUAGGUCUGAAUGUUGGAUGCACCUUGUGUCCCAGAGAUUCUUUGCUGUAAUAAAGACCUGAGAAUGGUGAAAAGUUAAUUUCCUUCCACUUCAGUAUUACAAAAAUAAAUCAUUAAAGAAGAAGCUGAAUCAAAGAACUUGUAUUCCUUAGAAACAUUCUUUAUGAUAAAACCCCAUAUGUUCAUUAAACAUUAAUUUACUGGAUUGCCUGGAAAUGAACUAUGUUGUGAAAUUCAAUAUUGCCUUUGCACAGCAACUCUGGCACUGAAAGAAUAUGUCACACUUCCAAUGUGAUUAAAGAGUUUGAGUCAAGUCACAUGGACCAGCAUCUACUGCUGCAUACAGCCCUGCAGCACAGUUAGCUGCAAUGCUGCUGUGCAAAUCACACCAGGAGAAGUUCUGAUUUCUCCAGGGAAAAAGAGUCAUGACCAAAUGUGCUUCAGAGCAGCCAGAAAAAGUCGAGCCAGACCAGGAAGAAGAAAAAUGAAGAGUUGGCUUCUGAAGAACUGGAUGGAUUUAUAAAAUGUACUUCAUCUUCCUUUGAUGGGAGUGUGCUAAAAAUAUUCCAUGAGCUCAAUACAUUAUAUUAGAUACAUUUCUAUUGGAAGUGCUCACAUCUUGUUUGUUAUGGAGGAAAAUGCUGUUACAUACAAAUGAAAAUAGUUUUCUGCCUGAGAAAGCAGAAAUUUCAGCAAUAAGUUUGACAAAGGGUGGGGGAAUGCCACUAAAACUCAAAGAUAAAGCCUUGUACAGAUUUCCACCACAUUUAAUUAUGUAGAAGAACAUUUGUAUGUUUACCAUGCUUGUGGAUCCCAGCACUGGUAUUCAUAUUCAGGGAUUGUCAGUGAUACUGAAUGUAUUUUGCUGUACUAAAAAAGAGAGGUUUUCGGGCAAAUGUUGUCUCUGUGGAUGCUUUCAGAGCUUGUGUUAAAGAGAUGCUGUACACCUGCAAUAGCAUUGAGAAUGACAACAAUAAAAGACCAAUUUUUGUUAAA